GCUUCAGCUCAGUGGCAGAGCAUCUGCUUUGCGUGCAGAAGGUCCAGGUUCAAUCUGCAGCAUCUGCA